GGGGAAUAUUGGACAAUGGGCGAAAGCCUGAUCCAGCAAUGCCGCGUGAGUGAAGAAGGCCUUAGGGUUGUAAAGCUCUUUCGUCCACGACGAUAAUGACGGUAGUGGAAGAAGAAGCCCCGGCUAACUCCGUGCCAGCAGCCGCGGUAAUACGGAGGGGGCUAGCGUUGUUCGGAAUUACUGGGCGUAAAGCGCGCGUAGGCGGCCAUGCAAGUCAGAGGUGAAAGCCCGGAGCUUAACUUCGGAACUGCCUUUGAGACUGCAUGGCUUGAACCCGGGAGAGGUAAGUGGAAUUCCGAGUGUAGAGGUGAAAUUCGUAGAUAUUCGGAGGAACACCAGUGGCGAAGGCGGCUUACUGGACCGGUGUUGACGCUGAGGCGCGAGAGCGUGGGGAGCAAAC
rnacentral:rRNA from 1 species